CCGCUUGUCCAGCGAAUUUCAUUGCGCUUUAAAUUAAUUCCCGUAACACGAAACGACGUCGAGUGUUCCGAGGAAGUACCCGGAUUGGGACCCUGGCAACACCGAAGAGGAAGCGAGAAAAAAGAUGGACCAACGCCAUUUUGAAGACAGAUUUUCUCCCAAGAAUAGGCCGAUAGGCCGCCUUUGAGUGUUUUGGACGAUUUUAUUCCCUUGCUGCCCUUGUUCGGCAGAAAAGCGGGCCGUGACUAACCGGCUUCCGCGGGCGCCGGGCGCGUCUCUGUCCCCUUGGAGUUGACAUUUGCUCACCGUAAACCCCCCGCAGGACAAUUUUCCUCCGACAGGAGGUGUUUGGUAGAGGCGUGGCCGUUGGAGGGCCAGACCCAGCGCUGCGGCUCCUCGUGGUUCCGACUGGCAGGUGCGGAGUGACUGGAAGCUCCGGCCAGCUGAGAGGGAAGACCAUCGCCUCGCCGCUUCAAACCAGCUAAGCCUUAUAACGUUGUUGCCGCUCUCUUCUCCGGCCUAGUAGUUCUGUAACAUCUCCGUACUAUAGCGCAAUCGACCAAAUAUCACCUUGUGUUCCCGUAAUUAGAUAAGUUAUAAGCUAAAAGGCCCUAAGCCAUAAGUAGUUGUCAGUAAGCAAGCCCAUUUGGUGCAGAGUUAAAUAAAUUUUGUAUGUUACUA